rnacentral:lncRNA from 1 species
GUUCCUUGGCGUUGGCUGAGUUCACCAUCACGUGGUGGUUCGGCAUGAAGUGAACUCGAAUAUCACCUCAGGAGCUACCCUACGCGCCUCUACAACCGAGGUGAGCACAUAUAAAUGGGGUUAUCGUGCCCCUCUCAUAGGCUGGUCCACGGAACCCGCUUACUGCAGUAAGCUAAUAAUUAUCCCACCAAUCAAUAAAAUUCAAUAACAUGAUAUGGCAAUUAUUGUAAUUCACAGCCUUUCAAGGCAAACAAACAAUCCGUAUUUCAAUACAAUUGCCAACCAGCCAAUCAUGCCCGAUUUAUCAUAAGCCAAUCAAUUUAAACAAUCAAAUUGCAACAAAUAGCAGUCUCCGUGUAUUCUAUUUUUCAAAAUCAUUAUUAAUUUCAAAACAAUUUAUAAAUUAAUUUCAUUGAAACACAUUUAUUCAUAAAACAUGAAAAUUUACCUUUUUAAAUCCAUUUUUCCAUAGUAUUCAUGAAAUCAUCUAAAAGCCACCCUAGAUAAUUAAAAUGAUAGUAACUUUACUCACAAUGUCUUGAGUGCAGAUUUUCAAAGUACUCUGACUACUAGUCCUCGGAUGUAAUUUCCUUACCUUUAUCGGAGGACUCACCACUUUGACAUAGUACAAAAUCGAGAAACUUAUUACAUUGGUAGUAAAUCGAAAUUAAACUAAUUUAAACUACUAAUGCAUGAUAUGGAAUGCAAAAUGCACAGGUAACUAUCUAAACUCGGUAUUGGCUUAAUUCAUCUUAUCACCCGAUUAAUUGGCCAACGCGUCCAAUUUAACUCAAAUUGCUCCAUUUCUUUUCCAAUACCUUAAUUCACCAAAUACAAGUCAAAUAACCUAAAAUUUGGCAAAACCAUCUUCACUUUUGUUCUUAGAAUUUUCGGUCAAUAAUGGUGCAUUAACACCGUGAUUUUUCCUACAACUUUUCCACACCAUAAUUCAUCAUUUUCUAACCAAUUCUCUUAAAAUAAAAAAUCAAAUUCAUCCUCACUCAAUACGAGGUAGGUUCGGCCAUUGAUGGGUGAUGGGAAAAAUGAAUUCUUUUCUUGUUGUUUUGAUUCUAGACAUGGUAGACUAACUAAAAACACUAACAUAACUUGAAAUCAAAUCAAUCUAACAUCAUUCUCUCUCCAUACCCAUUCGGCUAGCUACGAAUUCACCAUGAAAACAUGAAAUUUAACCAUGGAAAAUAAGGAGAAAUGCUUAAGGAAAAUAGAUUUCAAGUUUAAAUUGAGAAAUCCUACCUUUUUCACUUAUUUUCCUUGAUUUUCCACACUUUUUCUCUUGAAAUUCUCCACCUAGGGUUUGUUCUUUCUUUGUUUCCCUAUUUUCCUUGCUUGGCCGAAUAUUUGGAGAGAAGUGAGAGGUUUAUAGGCUGAUUUUUAAAGGAAAUAAUAAAAUAUUCUAAACUUGACAAGUGUCAUUUUAUUAUUGGUCUAUUUUUAAAACUUUUAAAAUUUAAACUUUUUAUCUCCACCACAUAUAUUUUCUCACUUAUCCAUAACAUAAAAAGUAAAUGGAUGAAUUCUAUGAGCAUGACAAGUGUUGGUGGUGUAAAAUUAUAAUUUUGCCACUAGAUGGUGAAAUUUUUGAUUUGACUCCAAAUUGAUCCUCGAACUCUAAAUCACCAUUUUAAAUCAUUCCAGGACCGUAAAAUUUUCAAUUUCACCCUAAAAUCUCUAUUUGAUCUAGUUCGAGGCUGAAAUUAACUUAGUUAUACUAUUAAGUACACUACCGACUUUUAACGAUUUUUCAGGGCUUUCCUAAUAUGCAAGCAUAUUGUCAAUCACAUGAAUGACAUGGUAAAUAUUUUAUAGAGUCAGGAUUGACAGCACUACCCCCCUUAAAAUAAAAUUUUGACCUCAAAAUUUCAUUUACUGAACUUAGAGAUAAGGUGGGGAUAUUGUUUUCUCAUCUAAUGCUCGACUUCUUAUGUCUUCCCCUUUAUAGGAAAUUUUGAUUUGUUCACCUCAUUUACCUCCAAUUCAACUUGAGUAGUUCACUUAUGUCUAUUAUUAUCCUUUAAAAUCAGAUCAACAGUAACCUUCACAAUUAUGAUCUCUUAUAUCGAGACACCAAACAUUCUUCUAUUACUAUCAUUAAACUUGAACCAUAACCCCAUCUCAAUUAUAUCAAUUUUAAUCGCAUUUUAUACUUAUUUAGGUAUACCAAUCACUAUCUUAUUACUUCAUUCCAUAUCAAAUUUCUCGACUUUCAUUCAUUCAUCCUAUCCUUAUACACUAUUGUGUAGUUUACGGCAUUAUCAACAUGCCAUACUCAUUCCUAUACAUAUCCUCAGCGUUAGGGAAAAUUAAUGGCUUUAAUUAUUUCCAUAUAUUUCAUGUUUACCUUGCAUUUAGGAAAUUUCAAUCUUUUUAAUCCUAUUAGUUCGUCUCAUAUGGUUUAAUUGCACUAUGGAUUACAUUCCCUUAACUAUUUCCUCAAAAUUCCUUAGGUCGCCAUAAAUUGACUUCUGAUAAAAUUCUUAAUCGUUAAAUUAUCUAUACAACUCAUCAAAUAGAUUGAGUUCAAAUCUCAAACCACUAAAACAUUCUUCAUUUUAGUUGGGUACAUCACUAACUCCACACAUACGUAUACACGUACAUUCAAAUGUCCAUAUUCCUCAUUAUGUAUACGGGUCUCUACUUUCAAAUACCUUUAGACUAAUUUCUCUUUGUUCAUUCCCAUCCAUAACCAAGAUUCAAUAGAAUAAUCUUCAUAAUUCAUACAAAUUCUCAUCAUGCCUGUGCAUAGUUCCACAUCAUUUACAUACUUAUUCUCUCUUCUUAUCAUUUUCAAUUAUAUGCUUAAGUUUCCUUGUACUAUAUAUCAUUGCAUCACAAUGUCAUCUCCAUUGAAUUAUAAUCUAUUAUGAGUGUAUGCUUUAUAAUCCCAUUGAUACUUCAAAAAUUUAUCUUAACUUGAUCAUUGCAUCUUAUGCAAUACCAUAAUUCCUAAGAGUCAUCCUUAUUCUUAGAUUAUCUUUCAUGCCUCUUACAUAUAUUGCAUCCUUAUUGCAUUCCAAUAUUGAUUUGUCACUUAAGACUCAAACUCAUUUGAAUCAUGUAUGCCUCAAGCAUUUUCGAAUUCCAAUUUCCAUAAUAUAUUAGGAAAGUUUCAUUAUCCGACUUCAUUAUCAAGGUCAACUUCACAUCAUCUCAUUUUAUUCAUGCGUCCUAGACAUGAAGUGUUCUUAGCACUGCAGCACGGUGGCUGUUGGAGUUUACUUAAUCAAUGUUAUUCAUCUAUAUUUAAGGUUACUACACUAAUCAUUCUCAACCAUUUGGUUUCCCUCCAAGCUUACGUCACAAUUUCCAUAACCAUUUAUAUCUUCUUGUGCUUAUCACAUAUAAUAGGUAAAGUCGAUAUUUUCAAAUUCAUCUCAUCCUAUAACACUUGUCAACAAUCAAUAAAUCUCACUUUAGAACACUAUUUCCAUAUUGUAUAGUAACUUCAUCAUAUAGUAUCACGGCACUAUGUUCCUCCAUUCUACCGUCAUGCAUACUCCACAUAAAUUACUUAAAAGAUUUACGUACCUUAACUAAUGCUAAUUCCAUUUAAUCAUAUCUUAAAUACUCCAAACUUGUAAAUUACAACUCCAAGUGUAUGCCCAUAUAUUGAUAAUCUUUAUAUAUUUCAUGAUCAUGAAAACUACAACUUACAAACUAGCUUUUUAUCAUAUGCACACUAUUAGAACAUUAAUUUCAACAUGUUUAAUUCUCCUUUGGUGGUAUGUUAAGAUCAUUCUUGGAUACAUUUUAAUAUUAACAUUGAUAUGCCUUUACCAUAGCAUUUAGUGCAAAUUUGAUGAAGGAAUUGUCUCCAAAUAACUCUUAAAUACAUAAUUAUCAAAUUGUAUACCACUAAAUGUUAAGAUCUUGACUUUAUUCAUCAAUAACCAAUCACAUUUAUUAAGUGAAUAAUUUACUUAGUUAUUACACCUUGCCUUUGCGAUCAUAAGAUCAAAGUUGUCCUAAACUUAGGAUGCAGAAGUUCUCUCUCUUAAAGUAUAUCCAAACAUCAACAUUUUCUAAAUUCCUUACUCUGGGGAGAUCACCUUCAAGACUGAUCAUUCGUAUCAUAGGCCACACUUUGAACCGAAUAAACUUUUAAAUUGAUCUUUCAAGUAAUUCGUAUAUCAGUCUCAAUUAUAGAACUUCAUAUGGCACUUAGACUAGAUUCGACAUUUCCAAGUCAUUUAACCUCAAGCUGCCAAUUCCACAUCUAGUCCUUUAAUCCCUUGGCUCCCCCUGCUAUGCAUAGCAAAGUUCAAGCUCAUCCUUAGAGCAGAUUUGUUUACUAACUUCUUACUUCAUGACCACACAUCAAUUAUAGUAAUCAUUGAUACUCACUCUCGAGUUAAUUCACGUGCUUAUAUCCAUGAACUAUAAUAGGUCCAAUCAAUUCUUGAAAUCUCACAAUCGCUUAAUUGAAAUCAACACCAGUUCCCUCUAAGCUGCUGUACCUAUUCAACACAUAUUCACAUAUAAAAUAUUUCAAAAUCCCAACACCACUUUUAUAUGGGCAUAACAAGCUCAAUUAACAUAGUGUUCUUAUCUUCAUGCACAUAAGUAUGGGUUUACUCUUACCUCAACACUUAAUUUAUACACUCCAAGUGAAUUACAACUAUCACUAUUCGUUCUAAUCAAAGUGCACCCCUUAUUACCAUUAUCACACAUGUUCUUUUAUAUUAACCCCAAUACAAUCCAUAGUCCCCAAAUCUUUUUCCAAUUGACAACCAUGAGUUCAAUUAUAACUCCACCAAAUGAAUAAAUUAUCAUGGCCUAUUAGUCCAACUCCAAAUUUCUCCAUCCUUAAUCGGAGGGAUAUAUCAUUUCAUUAAUCUUUCAUUAGGAGCAUUCGUUUUAAGAUCUCUCUAAAACUGGCUCGUGUCACGGGUGGCAUCUUAAACCCGGAUAACGGUCUUACUUAUGAUCUUUGCAUGACAUUAACAAGGAAGUGGAUUACUGGGAACAGGAGUUCAUAUAGCUCCCAUAAGAUCUAUAAGAAGAAACAAAAUGAUUCUAAAAACCUCCAAAUUCUAUAUGCAGAUGCACAAAUUCUAUUAUAUCAAACUUAACUUGGGCCACACUGAGACUGUAGUUUUUUUUUUUUAAAUAACUUUAAAACCAAAAACUAUGUGUUCUAAUCUUUAAAACCAAAGGCUUUGAUACCAAUCGAAUUGUCAUGACCCGGUACUCCCCUUGAGCCUGUGACAACCGUCGCGGUGUCCCGAUAGAGACUCAUUACCAAGAAUGCCAACCGGAACCCCACAAGGCUUUGAUAUCAGUUUCUCAUUUCCCCUAUUAGUAACCGUUGCCAAAUAUCACGUUCUAAAAGAUUUUAAACUAUUUCCAACUUAAAACAAUAAAAAAAAUAAUUUUCGUCUCAUAGGGGUAUUUUGGUUAUUUUUCCUAAAAAUUUGGAUACCAGCUAAUAAUGUAGUAUAUAAGUGCAGAACACAUAUUUCAAAAUUAAAAAAAAAUUUAGAUGUUUAAAACAUUCGUUUAAAGUGAAAUUAUGACUGUUAGAAUAAAAUAAAAAUAUUAAACAAAAUAUUCUAUUUUCUUAUAAAAUAAUAUUUUUAGAACACUGUGUAAAUAAUUUUUAUAACAUAAAAGCAAAAUAAAUUAUUACAUACAGUAGUACAGAUAACUAGAGCAUGAAAUUUAAUUUACAGUGACAUGUGGACCCCCAAAUGAUAAAAAUGAAUGAAGGCUGCAAACCUACAGUUUUUGAGGAAGUAAAGCCAACUGUAGACUUCGACAAUAUCAACUAUCUACAGCCUAUACUGAGCCUGAAACGGGUGGAAAAGAGGGUGGUGAGAUUAUAAAUCCCAGUGAGUAAACAGACAUCAUCAUAAACAUCUAGAGUUGAGUACAUGGAGACUAUAAAGUAAAUCGUUGUAAACUGGGUCACAGCAUUAGAGCACAUUUCAUUCAAAAUACGUAACGAGGCUUAUGAAUCUCAUAAAAACUAAGCUUGUGCCAUAAAUCUAUCCUCGGGGACACCUUGGCCGAGGCAUCCUACUAAGACCGCCAAGGCUGUUAAAAAUUCACAUUUUGCAUAAAACACAUUUUUCGUUGGACAUCACAGCCGUUCCUUGGAGUUGGCUGAGUUUACCAUCACGUGGUGGUUCGACGUGAAGUGAAAUCAAAUAUCACCUCAGGAGCUACCUUACGCGCCUCUACAACCGAGGUGAGCACAUAUAAACGGGGUUAUUGUGCCCUUCUCAUAGGCUGGUCUAGAGUGCGAAUUUUCGAAGUACUCUGACUACUAGUCCUCGAAUGCAAUUUCCUUGUCUUUAUCGGAGGACUCACCACCUUGACAUAGUACAAAAUUGAGAAACUUACUACAUUGGUACUAAAUCGAAAUUAAACUAAUUUAGACUACUAAUGCAUGAUAUGGAAUGCAAAAUGCACGGGUAACCAUCUAAACCCUAUAUUGGCCUAAUUCGUCUUAUCACCCGAUUAGUUGGCCAACGCGUCCAAUUUAGCUUCAAAUUGCUCCAUUUCUUUUCCAAUACCGUAAUUCACCAAACACAAGUCAAAUAACCUAAAAUUUGACAAAACCAUCUUCACUUUUCUUUUUAAAAUUUUCGAUCAAUAAUGGUGCAUUAACACCGUGAUUUUUCCUACUACUUUUCCACACCAUAAUUCAUCAUUUUCUAACCAAUUCUCUUAAAAUAAAAAAUUAAAUUCAUCCUCACUCAAUACAAGGUAGGUUCGGCCAUUGAUGGGUGAUGGGAAAAAUGAUUUCUUUUCUUGUUGUUUUGCUUCUAGACAUGGUAAACUAACUAAAAACACUAACAUAACUUGAAAUCAAAUCAAUCCAACAUCAUUCUCUCUCCAUACCCAUUCAGCUAGCCAUGAAUUCACCAUGAAAACAUGAAAUUUAACCAUGGAAAAUAAGGAGAAAUACUUAAGGAAAAUAGAUUUCAAGUUUAAAUUGAGAAAUCCUACCUUUUUCACUUGUUUUCCUUGAUUUUCCACAUUUUUUCUCUUGAAAUUCUCCACCUAGGGUU